GGCCAGUGAAUUGUAAUACGACUCACUAUAGGGCGAAUUGGGCCCUCUAGAUGCAUGCUCGAGCGGCCGCCAGUGUGAUGGAUAUCUGCAGAAUUCGCCCUUCAGGCCUAACACAUGCAAGUCGAACGCCCUCUUCGGAGGGAGUGGCAGACGGGUGAGUAACACGUGGGAACGUGCCCGAAGGUACGGAACAACUCCGGGAAACUGGAGCUAAUACCGUAUGUGUCCGCAAGGAGAAAGAUUUAUCGCCUUCGGAUCGGCCCGCGUCAGAUUAGCUAGUUGGUGGGGUAAAAGCCUACCAAGGCGACGAUCUGUAGCUGUUCUUAGAGGAAGACCCAGCCACACUGGGACUGAGACACGGCCCAGACUCCUACGGGAGGCAGCAGUGGGGAAUCUUGGACAAUGGGCGCAAGCCUGAUCCAGCCAUGCCGCGUGGAUGACGAAGGCCUUAGGGUUGUAAAAUCCUUUCAGCGGGGACGAUAAUGACGUACCCGCAGAAGAAGCCCC
rnacentral:rRNA from 1 species